UUGACCUAAAAGAGAGACCCUGACAUCAGCCAGGCAGGACAGAGGUGCAGGGCAGGGGGUAAACUCAGAGACCCCUGUGGUUUUGCUGCAGUACGUCUCCUCCUCAAAGUCUCUCCCUGAGGCUGAGAGAGAAUUAAUAUUCACGUACGUGAGCAUGAGGAUGAACCUCUUCGGAGUUUUCUCCUUUCCUACUACUGAUUUUGCUAGAAAACGAGCAUCCACAUUUCCUACCUAGGACUUUCUCCCAUAGAAUCACUGAGGACAUUGAGGCUCUGCACAAGCUCUUGGCAGAACUCCUGGAUGCCAUGCUGGGAAACCCUCUGGCAGAGUCCGCAGACACAGACAGGCUCCAAUACAUAUUGGAGUAUUGCAGUGGUGGAGUGAGGAGUCCAUGCAUCCAUUGUGAACUGAGAAAGUGUCUGAUGUGUCCUUUCCCCAGAGGGAGAGAUCUAGAUACCAUCAAUUGGCAGGAGAGAACCAGAGUGAGCCCAAAUGACCUUGGAACACCCAUUUCCUGAGCCAGUCAAGAGUGCUUGGCUUGAUUCCCAGUGGAAACCUACUGGCUACAUCAUUGUGACAACUAUUGCUAGAAGCUAUUCCACUAUCCUCUUGCAAAGUAAGGCUCCAAAAAACUGGAGACUUUCUAAGGGAUAUCUCUAGUUGCAAAAGGGGGCAGGGAGAGGGGAAGGCCAGGACCAAUAUUGACAAUGUCCAUGCAUCUACCUGUCAUCAACAAAAAGCAAACCUUAUGAGGAAUUGUAGGAUGAAGGUGGCAAUAUUUUGUACUUGCAUCAUGCGGUACCUUUCAUCAGAUAUUUCAGAGCAUGUUCUAAACUGUAACUAGAGCUCAACAUUCUUGCCAGGCAAGAACCAGUAAAUAUGGUUUCCUUUUUCAAA